rnacentral:rRNA from 1 species
UACGAAGGGUGCAAACGUUGCUCGGAAUCAUUGGGCGUAAAGCGCGCGUAGGCGGCCUGACAAGUCGGAUGUGAAAUCCCUCGGCUCAACCGAGGACGUGCAUCCGAAACUGUCGGGCUCGAGUAUGGAAGAGGGUCGCAGAAGUCCCGGUGUAGAGGUGAAAUUCGUAGAUAUCGGGAGGAAUACCAGUGGCGAAGGCGGCGACCUGGGCCAAUACUGACGCUGAGGUGCGAAAGCGUGGGGAGCAAACAGG